rnacentral:rRNA from 1 species
UACGGGGGGGGCAAGCGUUGUUCGGAAUUACUGGGUGUAAAGGGCUCGUAGGCGGCCAACUAAGUCUGACGUGAAAUCCCCCGGCUUAACUGGGGAACUGCGUCAGAUACUGGUUGGCUUGAGUUCGGGAGAGGGACGUGGAAUUCCAGGUGUAGCGGUGAAAUGCGUAGAUAUCUGGAGGAACACCGGUGGCGAAGGCGGCGUCCUGGACCGACACUGACGCUGAGGAGCGAAAGCCAGGGGAGCAAACGGG